rnacentral:rRNA from 1 species
ACGGCUCAGUAACACGUGGCUAACCUGCCCUUGGGACGGGGACAACCCCCGGGAAACUGGGGUUAAUCCCAGAUAGGUGAGAACUCCUGGAAUGGAUUUUCAUCGAAAAGGUGUUGAAGCAUGCUUUCAACGGCGUCCGAGGAUGGGACCGCGGCCGAUCAGGUUGUUGGUGAGGUAACGGCUCACCAAGCCUUUAACCGGUACGGGCCGUGAGAGCGGGAGCCCGGAGAUGGAAUCUGAGACAAAAUUCCAGGCCCUACGUGGCGCAGCAGUCGCGAAAACUCCGCAAUACGCGAAAGCGUGACGGGGCCAACCCGAGUGCCGUCCGCUGAGGAUGGCUUUUCCCCAGUGUAAUGAGCUGGAGGCAAUAAAAGGAGGGCAAGGAUGGUGUCAGCCGCCGCGGUAAAACCAACUCCUUGAGUGGUGAGGAUUAUUAUUGGGCUUAAAGCGUUCGUAGCUGGCCUGACUAGUCCCGCGUUAAAUCCAACGACCUAAUCGUUGGGCUGCGGGGGACACGGUCAGGCUUGGGGGCGGGAGAGGUUAGCGGUAUUCCCGGGGUAGGGGUAAAAUCUUAUAAUCCCGGGAGGACCACCAGUGGCGAAGGCUGCUAACCAGAACGCGCCCGACGGUGAGGGACGAAAGCUGGGGGAGCGAACCGGAUUAGAUACCCGGGUAGUCCCCAGCCGUAAACGAUGCAGGCUAGCUGUUGGGAUGGCCACGAGCCAUUUCAGUGGCGCAGGGAAGCCGUUAAGCCUGCCGCCUGGGAAGUAAGGUCGCAAGAUUGAAACUUAAAGGAAUUGGCGGGGGAG